rnacentral:misc_RNA from 1 species
UCCCGGUUGGCCCGGGCAGUCUCGUCUGAAAAAUUCAACAGACGAUAAGGGUUGCGCUCGUUGCGGGACUUAACCCAACAUUUCACAACACGAGCUGACGACGGCCAUGCAGCACCUGUCACUAGAUUCCCGAAGGCACUCCGUUAUUUCUAACAGAUUCCUAGGAUGUCAAGCCUCGGUAAGGUUCUUCGCGUACCAUCGAAUUAAACCCCAUGCUCCACCGCUUGUGCGGGUCCCCGUCAAUUCCUUUGAGUUUUAAGCUUGCGCUCGUACUCCCCAGGCGGCAUGCUUAUCGCGUUAGCUUCUCAGCACGGGGGGUCGAUACCCCAUACUAAUAGCAUGCAUCGUUUACGGCAUGGACUAC